rnacentral:lncRNA from 1 species
AGGAGAGGGACGGGAGAGAUGGAGAGGAGGAGAAAGAGGAAGAGGAGAGGAGAGGAGAGGUGGUAAUGCAUUAUUUCCACUGGCUCCUCGGUCCACCCUGCUGCCAGAACAGACUAGAACAGAUUGACUACAACACAUUGUCUAGCUUGCUCCGAUCCGUUCUGCCUUUUUCUGCGCCUCAGCCAAGGAAAGACUUUCUCUUUUAAACCACUCCGUUUUUAUACUCGAACCCCUUUGGGCGUCAGCCCUGUCGUCGUUUCUGUCGCAAAACAAACAAGGACGUGUGCUGUUUCCUGUCCAUACCCCUCGAUCCCCUCCCCUCAUCAAGACUACCCACUGGACUUGUCCAAGCACCUUCCUACCUUCCUACCUUGUUUUGUGAUUGUCCUGUUGUCAUGUUUUAUUUCCAGAGGAAGCUAGGUAUUCAUCUGUUCUCAUCAACAAACCCUAAAGGAAGGAAGGUUGAGAAUCUGGUGCAGUGCACCCACAGUGCAUGCUGUUUAAAUGCUGUCUGAAUACCUUUCUGUGGACUAGUCUUAAUACAGCGGUUGACUCGGCUCCACGAAUCUUCUGACUCGCGUCAGAACAAGUGAAAUUCUACUGAAUAUGCAGACAAGAGGGAGAACAUAUUUUUGGAUCGUUGGUAUUUGCUUUGAUUUAUUACGUUUUUUUGUUGUUGUCUGUCUGGGAUCAAGGACGUAUUCCUAAAACUGAACAGGUCAAACAGCCAAUCUGUCCUCUUUCUGUCCUGAUGUCCUAACAGAACAUCUGUCCUCUUUCUGUUCUGAUGUCCUAACAUCUAAUCUGUCCUCUUUCUGUCCUGAUGUCCUAACAGAACAUCUGUCCUCUUUCUGUUCUGAUGUCCUAACAUCUAAUCUGUCCUCUUUCUGUCCUGAUGUCCUAACAGAACAUCUGUCCUCUUUCUGUUCUGAUGUCCUAACAGAACAUCUGUCCUCUUUCUGUUCUGAUGUCCUAACAUCUCAUCUGUCCUCUUUCUGUCCUGAUGUCCUAACAGAACAUCUGUCCUCUUUCUGUUCUGAUGUCCUAACAUCUAAUCUGUCCUCUUUCUGUCCUGAUGUCCUAACAGAACAUCUGUCCUCUUUCUGUUCUGAUGUCCUAACAUCUCAUCUGUCCUCUUUCUGUCCUGAUGUCCUAACAGAACAUCUGUCCUCUUUCUGUCCUGAUGUCCUAACAUCUCAUCUGUCCUCUUUCUGUUCUGAUGUCCUAACAGAACAG